AAUUCUAAUAGAAUACUAAUAAUGCUCUAAUUAGACUAUAAUAAUGGUAAACAAACGUAAUCAAAUUCAAAACAACUCAAAGAAAUUUCAAACAAACAAUAAAAUUCUUAAAGAAAUAUUAGAAUAAUCACAAAUUUUACUCAAAUAUAUGUCAAUUCAACCUUAAUUUAAUUCUAAUUAAAAUCCUAUUGAAUUUCAAUCAAAUUUAGACCAAACCUAAUUAAAUCUUAAAUCCUAAUAAUUCCUAAAUCCUAAGUCAAAUCCUAAAAAAAUCUUAAAUUAAAUCCUAUUCCAAAUCCUAAACCCUAAACCAAAUCCUAAAUCCAACUCUAAAUCCUAAACCAAACCUUAAAUCAAACCCUACUCAAAUCCUAAACCCUAGCCCAAACCCUAAUCCAAACCCUAAAUCAAAUCCUAAAUAAAUCCUAAAUCCUAAUCCAAACCCUAAUCCAAACCCUAAUCAAACCCUAACCAAACCCUAAACUCUAAUCCAAAUCCUAAACCCUAAACCAAACCUUAAAUCAAACCCUAACCAAAUCCUAGUCCAAACUCUAAUCCAAAUCCUAAAUCAAACCCUAAUCAAAUCCUAAAUCCUAAUCUAAAUCCUAAUCCAAAUCCUAAUCCAACCCUAAACUCUAAUCCAAAUCCUAAAUCCUAAACCAAACCUUAAAUCAAACCCUAACCAAACCCUAAUCCAAAUCCUAAUCCAAAUCCUAAAUCAAAUCCUAACCAAAUCCUAAACCCUAAUCCAAAUCCUAAAUCCUAAUCCAAACCCUAAUCCAAACUCUAAACCGAAUCCUAGCCAAAUCCUAAUCCAAAUCCUAGUAAUUCCUAUGACAGAUUUAAACCUCAAUAUCUACUGAAUAAACCAUUGAACUCAAUUCAAAAUUUGCAAACUUCUUAAAAAUCAAGUUCAAAACAAGCCAAUUUUUUUUGAAAAGGAUCGGAGUUGCCAAAUUGACGAAAACCUCAAAAUUGUGUUCGGGUGUUAGCCGGCCUCCUUCUCUUAUCUUGAUGCCAACCUUCUAGAGCCAAUUUUUCUUCUUUGCGCCAUUCGAUUGGUUUCAAAUUUCUCAUGGACAUAGAAAAACAAGUAUAAUAUCCUCUUACAUAAGUUUUACUCUAAUUCAACCAGUAGAUUGCAUGAAAACUUAAAAACCUUCAUUGGACCUAUAAUUCUACUUUUUGAGACCUUGACUCACUUAAACCUCAAUAUCUCUCAGUUCAACCGUUAGAUCAAGCUCAAAUUCACAACAUGUAUUUAACACAACUAUACCCAUGAACCCAAAAAAAUUCACCCGUAGAUCUGCAACAAAACUCUCGAAAUCACUCAAAACAUAAACCCUAUUUUAUUUCAUAAAACCCAAGUCAUCCAAAAAAAACCUCAAUUUUGCAAAACUCUUAAAAAUUCAUAUCAACUCCAAAUCAUCCAAAAUCAACGCCUAUAGAAACCCUAUCCAAUCUUCUCUCAAACUCCACUCUCCGAUCUGCCAAAGAGUCCCGGAGUCGUCGUCGAGAUUCGGUUUUGUGCCUCAGGGCCUGAUUUCGACCCUGGUUCAUAACCGGCCCUCUCCGGAUAUGAAUAUCUAGUUUUUCUAAGUAACUUUUUUCUAGAAUUUACUCUUAACUUUCUUCUAAAGAUUCCUAUAUCAUUUAUUUUUCCAAUCUACUUUGAUUUGCCUUACUUAUGAUACUACAAAGUAAGUAGAAGUCACCUUUCUAAAAGGCAGCAUUGGUACCUUUUAAUUUUUCUACCCCUUUGGCUAUUAACUAUAUUUCUAAGAUAAUUUGUUCUAAUACUUUGAACUAAGAUCUCUUAAAUUAUAACUAUCUCCACACUUUUUCAUCUAUUAAUCGUGUUAUAUCACGACAUCCACCCCCCUUGAAUUUGUGCAUCCUCCGGCAUGCGCCAACGAUUCUUCAAUAUGUUAAUGUAGAAUGUUCUUCAUCUUGGUACAAUUCUUGAUCUUCAAUAUGCUCUUCUAUUCCAAUCUCAAUAUCUUAUAUUUGAGUUUGUUCUUCAUCAAAACAAAUGCCUUCAUCUCUUUGUUUAAAUAACUUGAUUCGUUUGCCUGCUAUGGGUACCUUCAAUUCUGUACUAUCAAGUUCUUGUAAUAAAUAUGUUCCAUUGUUGUGUGCCCUUUUGACAAUAUAAGGUCCAAACCAUCUCUUUGCAAAAUUCUUCAUAGUGCUAUGUUGAUUGUCUAAGCUACUAUCAUAAACUAAUAGCCAAUCACCAUCUUCAAUAGCCUUGGGUCAUAAUCGAUGUUUUUUAUCAAAUCUUUCUUUAUUCUUUUUCCUUGCUUCUUUCAAUUUUUUUAUUGUUAUUUCAAUUUCGUUGGAUCUUCUUUCUAGUUGCUGAAUCCGUAAUGCUAAAAGUUCUUCUUUGUUGAGAUCAUUCUUCCAAGGCAAUAUACCCCAUGUAGGUACUACAUCUUCUAUUGGCAUUACUGGUUUUUGAUCAUAUACUAAUUCAGAAGCCAUAUAACCUGUUACCGAACUAUGAGUUGUACGAUCUGCCCAUAGUGCAAAUGGUAGUAGUCUAGGCUAUUCAUGUGCUUUUCCAUUGCAUGCCUUUACUAAUGCCUUAACAAUAGGUGAAUGCCCACGCUCACUUUUACCAUUACCUUCUGGAUUAUAUGCAGUUGUUAAAGAAAGUUUAAUUCCUAUCCUAUUAAAGAAUUCUCGUGCUUCCUUUGCAUCCAAUUCACCUCUAUCUGUCGUAAUUUUUCCAAUACAACCAUAGCGAAAAAUAACUUCUUCUAAUAGAAAUCGACAUACACCUUUAAUAUCCUUUGUUCUUAAUGCUCGUCCUUCAACCAUAUUUGAAAAAUCUUCUCGUGCAAGUACCAAAUACUUCAUUUUUCCAAGUCCCAUAGGCAUUGCCACUAAAUCCACCACCCAUUUGUAAUGUAAAGCCAAAGGGUAUGUUGGAUGUAACCCAUCUCGAUGUCGAAUAUUUGAAUAUACUUGGCAAGUCUCACAAGAUUCUAUAAAUUUUGCUAUGUCUUUGUACAUUCUCUUCCACCAAUAUUUUUCCUUUAACUUAGUGAAUGUUGCCCAAAUACCUCGAUGCCCUACCCAUAAAUUUUCAUGAAAUUCUUUAAUAAUAUUUUAUUGAACUUCUAAACCACAUAUCACCCUUUGUAGUACUUCUCCUUUCUUUUUUGGAUGCUUCCAUAAAUAUCUAUCAUGUAAAAAAUAUCUAUAGGCUUUCUUACAAAUUUUCUUAAUCUUUUUGUUGUUUUAAUGUGCUCAAAUACUCUCCAACAUCUUUCCAUUCAUUUUCAUAUAAAUCUCUUAAAAAUGCUUCUAAUGGUAUAUUAAAACAUACACCCUUUUCCUUUGAUAACACAUUGGUAUAAAAUUUUGUACCCACAUCAUCUUCUAAAUCAAUCAUCUUUUCUUCAUCAUUAUACCUUGCUCUCGAUAACAUAUCUGCAACUGAAUUUUCUUUCCCUACAAUAUGUUUAAAUUCAUGAUUCAUAGAUUUGAUAUAUGCUAUCCACUUCAACAUAGCAAUAUCAGGAGUUGAACAACUUGUAAUCAUGCCUAAAAAAGGUAGACAAUCUGUUUCUAUAACUACUAAUGCUCCAAUCAAGUAUUCUUUUUCAUUUUUCAUAGCUAUUACUAUACCCCAUAAUUCUCUUUUGAUUUGCGCAUAUGCCCUUUGCCUAGAAUUCAAUACCUUUGCUCCAAAUCUUACUAAAUAUCUAUUUCCUUGUUCAUCAUCUUGCCCAACCGCCUAAUCUAUUCCAAUUGGACUUGCAUCAACUGUUAAUACCACUGGCCUUCCACCUUCAUAAUUUACUUUCUUCAAAGUUGGAGAUGAAGAAAGAAGUUCUUUCAAUUUUUCCAUAGCUUUUCGUUAUUCUUCUUUCCAUUAAAAUUUUUUAUUCUUUCUUAAGAACUUAUAUAAUGGAUCUGCUAUACGUAUAAAGUGAGAUAUCCAUAUAUGAUAGAAAAUACAUGCUCCUAAAAAUCUUCUCACCUUCGUUGAAUUUGUACAUUCUUUCAACUUUUUAAUAAUAUCAAUCUUUUCUAUACUUGGCUUACAUCUAUAUGAACCACAUAUGUGUCCUACCACCAAAAUUUCUUUUACUCCAAACAUUGAUUUUGUCCCCGAUAAGGUUAAAUGAACUUCUUCCAAUCUUUUCAAAAUCUUCUCACAAUCUUCAAUAUGAUCUGCCACAAACUUCCUACAUCCCUUUGAAUCUAAAGUUUCAUUCUUUUUUUCUUCUUCACAUCCCUUAAUAGGUACAUCAUCCAAGAAAGGCAUUGUUAUUCUUGGAAUAAAAUCUCUUAAUACCUUAUGCAUUCCAUUCAUCAUAUGUGCUACAGAAUUUGUAGCCCCUUGUGAUAAUGUGCACAUUCUAGCCAAUCCUAACGGUGUCUUCAUAGUUGUCAAAUCCCUACUUUGUAUUGCCAAUUGGAAUUGAUCAUAACCUGAAUAAAGAUCAUCCAUUGAGUAGAUAGCUCUUCCAGCAAAUGCUUCUGCAAAUUCAUCUACAAUUGGACUUGAAUCCAUAUUUCUAAUAGUCACUUUAUUUACGGGUUGCAUAUCUUGUAUAAAUCUCAUUGUUCCAUUUUUCUUUGGCACUAUAAACCAUCAAUUAGAAUAAGGUGCUAUGGAUGGUUUCAAAAUUCCCAUUUUAAUCUUUUCAUUGAGUAAAUCUACUAACUUAGAUAAAUGUGCUCUUUGUACUGGAAUUGGUCGCAAAUUCCAUGGUUCAUGAGGAAUAGUAAAAAUAACCAUGGGUGCUACAAUAUUUGGAUCAACACACCCAAUUUCAUGUGCUUCAAAUGCAAAAGCUUUUCCAUGACAUGAAAGCAUAUCCCUAAAACAUUUUUCUUCACAUUUUGUCAAAAAUCCAUCACCUCCAACAUUUAACCCAUCUAAUGUAACAUCCGUAAAUUUAUGCCCUAUCUUCUUUGGAUCUCUUAGAUUUGGUUGUGUCGAUGCUCCACUUAUCAUUUCUUCACAAUCACAUGGUAGUGGCAAAGCCAAUGGUUUGACCUUCUUUGCUACUGAUUUAUACUUAGUUUCAACAUAUACCUCUUGGCGACUUAAAUUUUCUUUAAAUCCUUGAAUUUCAUCAUAAAAUUCUUUAGAACACACAUUAAUAACUCUAUUCUCUACUUGUAACCCACAUUGUAAUAGAUAAUUUAAUUCUUCCAUAGUAUCUGCAAAAUCUACUUCUUUAUAUACUCUUGAAAUAAAUUUAUUUUCAACCAAUUCUCCAUUUUCUUUCAAAUUUUUUUCUAUAUUUUUAAUAUAACAUCUGUCCCUCUUUUUCAUUUUGUCAAUAGUCUUAAAAGUCAACACACAAUCUUGUGUCAUCUCAAUAAGUCCGGUAGAUAAAAAUUCUUUUUCUAAAUUAAGCGAGAGUAUUUCUUUUUGUAAUCCAUUGCAACCCUGCCUUACAAUGGUGUGUGGUAAAAAUCCUCAAGGUCUUCAAAUUUCUUAUUUGAUAUUGAUUUCUCUCUCAACUUAUCACGAUUUCUCUCAUGAUUAGCACUAACAGUUAAAAAUUGAACUGCUUUCAUUCCAUCUUGGCUUCUUAUUCUUACAUAAGCUGAACCAUCAUCCAUUACUUUUGUUUCCAUUCGUGUGGAAAUAAUAUAUGGUUGUCCCAAUAUAAUAGGGUAUGUAGACCUGUCUUGCACAAAGAAAUUUUGUUCAUGAAUAACAUCUCCAAUUGUCACUUUGAUAUUUGGACAUGCUCCAUACAAAUCUCCCUUUGAAUUAUUCGUAGCUCUUAUCAUCCAUCCAUGUUCAGUAUCAAUAGGCCAUUUUUUCUUGUUAUAUAAUUCCUUUGUCAUCAAAUUGAUUUCAGAACCAUGAUCAAUUUAUGCUACAAUUAGUUCUUCUAAAUUUCCCAAUUUUAUUAAAGUCUCCGUUGUAGCCCUUGCGCAAUAACUUCUAGAAUAAUGGCUAGAAGCUUGAAUGACAUCUUCUUUUUCUGCAAACCUUAUUCACAAGACAUUUCCAAAAUUUUGUAUUUCAUCUUCUUCAUCUUUAUUUCUUUCCAUUGCUCUUGUUCCUUGUACAUUUGAUGUCAUAGAGUCUCCUAUAGAUUAUCAUUUUUUCUUUAUUGUAUCAAUAAUAACUUCAUAAAACUCAUGCUUUGCAAUUCUUAGAAUUUCACCAAUUGUGAAUUCAACCUUUCCACUUAAAAUCCGCUCCUCCAAUACCUUCUUCAAAUCUGUAGCUGCUUCAAUAUUUGUUUGUAAUUUAUAAGUAGGAACCUUUGCUUUUUCUUUUCCCAUUUCCCUUUCUUUUAUAGAAAUGCUCUCCAUUGUCUCUUCAUGUAUAGAAUUCUUUUGUUGUCGUGCUCUUUUCCCCUUGUAAUUCUUUUUGAGGGCCCUUCAUUAUUUUCAUCUCUCCUUCAUUUUUCUUCUAUUAAUGCUUCAUAUUGACUCCUUGCAAGUACAGAUAGUCUAUCUACUGGAUCAUCCCACCCAGUAAUUUGUUGAAUGUUAUUACCAACACGGUUCAAAUCAUCUCUAGUAAAAUUUUUCCUUUCAGCAUACCUCAAUGUACUUGUCCACAAAGAACUAGAUUCUAUUGAAAACUCAAGGUUUAUACUUAAACAUCUACUAGGAUCUGCUUCCACCCAAUAUGUUGAUGCUUCAUUGCUUGAGAUUGUCUGCACUUUAAAAGUAUCUCCAAUAAAUAACUUCAUUCCUCUUUUACCAAAAUUUGUUUCCAAUUUUUCUCCAUUUUCUUUUGAGUGUAUCAUACCAUCUUUAAAAAAAACAACUCCUUUACGUAAUGCCUCUAUAAAUUCUUCACAUUCCCUCCUCGAGUGAUCUAUGCUGUCACACCACAUGCAUCUAUGUACUACACCCUCCAUUGGCCUUGGUCUUUGUUUUGUUGAUGUUCUUGAUGAUUGACCUUUCUCUUCAAGUUUUGCAAAUUUUAUUUGUAAAUCUCUCAUCCCACGUAUGAUUUCAUUAAUUCUUGUUUCUUCUUUCUUUGAUGUAGCCAUUGAAGGUUGAAUUAAAGAUGUCGGAUAGAUACUAGACACCUUUAUCUUAGAUGGUUGUAAUGGUCUUUGAUCACCCCCCAUAUCUUUUAUCUUUUAUCUUUUUGUCAUCGUCCUUACAGCAUCCUCUAUCCUUUUCCAAUUUGUUGUCAAUCCUUCAUCUUCUUCUUUAUCUUCAAGCAUGAAUUCCAACUUCUCUUGCAACUUUCUAUCAGCUACUUGAAGAAAGAGCUCCACCUUACUUGGAUCCAAUAACUAUCUUUCUUUCUUUGAUAAAGAAGAAUAUCGCUUUUCAAACUCCCUUAAUAAUUCUAUUGCUAGAAGAUCCUUCUUUGGCUUUUCAAUCCAUUCAAAAAAAGACCUUUUUGUAACCCUAUCACUAUCUUCUAAGAAAAACUCAUCCUUCAAAGCUUGAGAAAAUUUCUCCCAUGAACCUCCAAAGUGUUGAAUAAGAAACUUUACUUGAUUUCUUAUCUCUCGUGCAGAGGCUAAUUCAAAUAAUUGAACCAUCUUACUUUUUGAAAUAUGCUUCAAUUCCAUUUCUUUUACAUAACAUCUUAAAUAUUUUGUAAUAUCCUUUCCUUCAAAUUGAUCGAUCUUGUCCACGACCGCUUGUAAUGCUUUGUUAGCCAUACUCUCUUUGCGAUCUUUAACCUGUUGCUCUUGUUGUUGCAUGAAUAAGGUCAAAGCUUCAAACAUGCUUGUGGAGUUAGGAUCAAAAUGCAUACUUUGUCCUCCAAAUGAAGCUCUUCUUCCAACUCCACUAGAAGCACUAUCCAAAUUACCUCCUUCCAUUCUACUUUAAUUUCUUUUCCAAAAUUCAAAUAAAAAAAAUAAUAAUAAAUUCCUUCCACCUCAAGCGUUUCACGUCGGGUUCACUAAAUAUGUCGCAAUGUGUGAAGUCUUGCUUGAGAAUGCUCUGGGCACCUGGAUGUAGAAGGAAGAAUAAAAAUUGCGAUAACAAAAUCCUAAUUCUAAUAGAAUACUAACAAUGCUCUAAUUAGACUAUAAUAAUGGUAAACAAACGUAAUCAAAUUCAAAACAACUCAAAGAAAUUUCAAACAAACAAUAAAAUUCUUAAAGAAAUAUUAGAAUAAUCACAAAUUUUACUCAAAUAUAUGUCAAUUCAACCUUAAUUUAAUUAUAAUUAAAACCCUAUUGAAUUUCAAUCAAAUUUAGACCAAACCUAAUUAAAUCUUAAAUCCUAAUAAUUCCUAAAUCCUAAGUCAAAUCCUAAAAAAAUCUUAAAUUAAAUCCUAUUCCAAACCCUAAACCCUAAACCAAAUCCUAAAUCCAACUCUAAAUCCUAAACCAAACCUUAAAUCAA
rnacentral:lncRNA from 1 species